GGCGCUUCUUCUGCCCCUGGCCCGGCAGCGAAGGGUCCGGCGCGGGAGCCCCGCUGGCAGUGGCUGGGGAUGGCCGAGGCGGGAGGGGAGUUUGGCGCGGCGGGGCUGCCGCGGGACUGCCGGAGCCGCGCCGGUGCGAGCCGUGCGGAGCCGAGGGGAGCUUUGGCCGGGCCGGCGGGCGGGGCAGGCGGCGCGGGCGCUGCGCCGGUGCCGGCCGGUGCCGGCCGCUCCGUCCGCUCCGGGCGCGGGGCUCGGGCGCCGCCGGGGCCCCCCGGGCCCGGUGCCGGCCCCGCCGGGCCGGGGGGAGCGGGCGGGGGUCUCCCGGCGCGGCGCCGCCUGUGCCUGCCGGAGGAGCCGCUUUCCUGCCGGGAGCCGCGCUCCGCCCGCUGCCGGGAGCGCUGGUUUUCAUUUUCCAGAGUUCCUUGCUGUGGUGGUUUUGAGGAACUUAGUGGAUCGUUUUCUUUUGUUCGUAGUUGGUGUAUGAGAAAGGUCAUGGUGUACUUGUUGUUGUUACGGUUCUUGGUUCAUGUGCUGAUGACAAGGGUUUUUUUGGAUUGAGUUUGUUGUUGGAUUUUUUUUUUUUUUGGUGGGAUAUGUUGGGUUUUUUAUUUGUUUUUAUAUUAUAAAAAUACAGUUGUAGUUAUCUUCUUAAAGGAUUUUUUUUUUAAGGUUUACUGUGGUUUUUAUGGGUCGUAGCAUGAAGUACAGGGUUGUUUUUUAAUUAGGCUGUGGUGGCUUUUAUUAGCGUGCGUAUGUAGUGGUUUUUUUGGUGGGUUUGGGGUAGUGUCCUGUAGUCAAUUAGUAAGUUUUUUUUUUUGGUUUUUUUUUUUAAUAUUGAUAAUUGCAUUCUUGUUAAUUCUCUUAUAGAGGUUUUAUUCAUUUGGUUUGUUUAAUUGUCGUGAAUGUUUUAUUGUUACCGGUAAUUUGGGAGUUAUUGUUUAUGGUUACAUUUAUUUUUUGGUGAUGUGUUUAUUUCUAGGUGGUAUUUGUAUUUUGAUGGUUUGAGGCAUUAUGGCUUUAUUGAGUUAGGAAUAAUUUCUGGUGUUGUUAAUUUAAGUUUAUUUAUUUGGGUUUUUGUUUUAGUUUGAUGUAUUUGUUGGUUGCUUUUUAUUAGUGGGGUUUUUUUUAGGAACGUGUGUAUUUAUAUGGUGGGUUUUUUUAGGUAGUUUUUUAUUUGGGUACUUAUCUUUUUCUUGUCUAGUGAUUUAGAAUAUUUUAAUAUUGUUUAUUACUUUAGUUUUUAAAGUUAAAUUAGACUACUGGUUACUCUUCGAGUUAGUGUAGAGGUGUGGUUUUCAUUUUUAGUAGCUUUCAGGGUCUGUUGUACGGUUUGAAGUUUAGUAAGCUGGUUGGACUUCUUUUUCUAGUGGGUUUUGUAAUUCGUUUUCUAUGUAUGUUUUGGUUUCUAUGGGUUGUUUUUUAUUUUUGUUUCAUUUUUGUGAUGUGUCUCACGAAGAACUGUUAGUGAAGAGUGUAGCGUGGGUUUAUUUUUUGCUGGUAGUUGGUUCUACGGUGGUGUAUUUUUAGUUUGUGUUGUUUGGUUUUGGGUUUCUUUUGUUAGAGAUUAAAGUUUUUAUUCUGGGGUUAAUUUGUUAUUAUUUUUAAGGAUUUAGGGCGAUUGAGAUUUUUGAUAUGGAUGUCCUGUAUGAUAAGAGUUAAUUUAUUUGCUUUAUGUGGAAUUGAUGGCGGGGUAGGAGACAUUUCUGUAUAGAAUGUGUAUUUUAAUCAUAGUAUUAAAAUAAUACCGUGGUAAGAGGGGCUGUGUUUUAUUGUUUGUUUUCGAGGUGGUUUGGCAUUUUCUUAUAGGUUGGCGGGUUUUUUUGUUGGCUCGUGGAGCCAUUCUGACUUUUUUGGAUGAAAUUGGUGGGAAUUUGAUGUUUCUUUUGUUAUUUUAUUUUUAGGAAUUGGAUCUUUUCAGUAGGCUUUUUCAUUUUGCUUUUUUUUUUUUUGUUUUGUGGUGUAAUAGUAUUUUAGAAGAAUUUGGAUGAUUUUAAAAAAUAUUUUUGUUAUACUUUUCAUCUAAUAUUGUUGGAUUAUUACAGAUGUUUUGGAGUUUUCUUUUUAAGUUUCAUUUGGAUGAAUUUAUGCUAGAUGGUAGGACUGUGUUUUUAUUUUUGGGGUAGUUGGUUGUAGGUAUAUGUUUUUCAAGUGAAGGUAAAUCAAGGUUUGUAUUCGGUUGUUAGAGGAAUGGAGAAAAAUGUAUUGGUAAUGUUAACAGUGGUGUGUUAUUUUGUGGUUUUUCAUUUUAGUUUGUAUUGGAGAUUUAAUAAGUUUGGUACAGUAGUGUUUAAUGGUGGAGUUAUUUAAGGUAUGAUAGUUUAUAGUUAAUUCUUAUUUGUUUUAGAUUUGUGUGUAGGUUAGAGGAGGUUGUUGAAGGGUGAGUGGGUUUUGUAGAUGAAUUUUAAUGUUUCAGUUUAUAGAGCAUUUUUUGGAUGGGAGUUACAGUAUUUUGAGUUGUUUGGUGUCGCUGGUGAUGUAUUGUUGAGGUGGUAAGGAGUAUUUGUUGGGUUUUUUUAAAGAAGGUUUAUUGUUGAUAGUUUUAGAUAGUUGUGGUGGGUUGCUUAAUUGUUUUAUGUUUUUUGGCUUUUUAGUAGUUAUUUUAAAUAUGUUUGAGUUUUUGGGGUUUAUUGAAAUACUUGAUUUUGAGGAAGAUCCUGUUUAGAAUGUAUGAUUUUUUUUUGGCUUAAAAGUUUUAUUUUUUUUUUUUCGUGAGGUUUAUUUUUUUUUCCUUACUGCUAUAUUUUGUGAUAUUUGUGUUAGGUUAGUAAUAGGAAUAGCUUUACUUUUAUAUGUUGAAAUGAGGGUAGUGUGUACUGCGUUCUGGUGUUCAUAAAGGUUUAAUAUUUCUGUGGUUCUGAUGUGUUAGGUUAAUGAAUUUAUAAAGUUUACAAGAAUUUUUUUGUUUUUAUUUUGAUACAGGCAGGGUUUUCUUAGUUUUAAGGAUUUGUUUGGCAUAAUUAAGAGGCCUUAUUGAGGGGAUAGAACAGGGUGUCUCUGUUAAUCUAUUUGGCAAUUUGAAUAUUGGGUAAAUAAAGUUAAUAUUUUGGUAGAAUUUUUAGGUUUUGUUUAUUUAUUUAUGAAUUUGUGUGCCUACAGCUGUAGUGUCUCUGCUGCAACUCCAAGUAUCCAUUCAUGUUUGUGUGCAUUAGGCGGUCCAGUCGUGUAACACCGAGACCCCCUCUGCAACCAGCCCGCAGACCCGCUCCUUCGACCUCGUGGGAAUUCGGGAAGCGGCACACGGCUCUGCGAGGAAGCCUUGAUCUUUGUCACUGGAAGGUGUCACACAGGGAGCCUUCAGGAGCGGCCGAGGAGUUGCUCUGAGCAAGGGACCACAGCCUGCUGACCAUAAGACAUUCCCAGCUGUCGAGGCAGCCUCCAUUUGCACAGGAUGUGGAUUCUCAUCCCCGGAUGCCGGAGAGAUAAGUCGAGGGCUAAGGCCCACAGAGGGGACAAAGGCAACGUGCUGGGAGGGCCUAUUGAAUCAGCUCUGGGGGCGGGCAUGUGCAAGAAGGGUCCCCUUAGGCCACCUAAAGGGAAAAUGUCUAUUUGGAUCUCGGUGCUGAAGCGUGCAGGGCAGACCAGUUCCAGUGCGUGUCCUGUCACUGGUCUCUGGUGCACUCUGUGUUGUUUGGGUCUCUCAGUCCUUGCACACAUUCUUCUCAUUGAAAGCUCUCUCUCCCUGUCCUGUCCCCUCGUUUGUCACGUCCUGUCCUGUGUCACCGGUGUCUGCACUCAUUUGUCCAGGAACUGCUCUGCCCUGCUGCAUAGCCUGUAAUAGCACAAGCCCCGGGACUUGAAAUUUGUAAUUCAAGGGUGUAGUUGGGAUCUAGAUUCUAUUGGGAGAUUGACAUAACAUUUUUGGUGCUGUUAAGUUGUCCUGCAGCUGUUUGACACUAGUUCUAACUUCCUUUCAGAUGCAGACAGUUCAAAUCUGUGGUAGAGAGCGCCAGUCCUGGGUAAAGGUGUUGGCAUAAGCAGGAGGUCCAGGCAGAUAGCAGCAGUCAAGGCCCAUUGUGCUAGGGAAUCCCUUCGGAGUACGCAUAGCACCUGUCACCAGCUGGCCAAUGGACUGGGUUUCCUGUGCUUUAUGAGACCUCUGGAAGUAUAGCGGGACUCUGUGAUGAAGCCUAAAAAUUUUGUAUUUCAGGGUCCCAACCUGGUAGCCCAGAGGAGUGGACAAGGAAUUGCGGUGAUGCUGUUGGCCUCCAAGCACGCCUGAAGUGUGUGGCCUGGGCACUCUGAGGAGGAUGACCAAGAGGUGACAGCUGGAACUUAGCAGGCAGGCAGACGGCCUUCUUCUGCAGCCAACAGGGAUUUACAUCCCCAGAUAUGUGCAAGAUAAGUGGAGUGUUACGACCUACAGAGUGGAUGGAAGCGCGGUGCUGGCUUGGGCCUUUCUAGAAGGGGUUUUUUUGUCUGUUUUGGGGAUGGGGAUGUCCAAGAAGCAUUUCCCUAGUCCUCCUAAAGGGAAAAUGUCUGUUUUGGUCUCAGUGCUGAGGUUCACAGGGCAGAGCAGUUCCGGUGUGUGUCCUGUCACUUGUCUCUGGUGCACUCUGUGUUGUUUGGGUCUCUCAGUCCUUUCUUCUCCUCGAGAGCUCUCCCUCCCUGUCACGUCCCCUCGUUUGUCACGUCCCGUCCUGUGUCACGGGUGUCUGCACAUAUUUGUCCCGGCCAUGCUCUGCCCUGCUGCAUAGCCUGGCCAGUCCAUAAGGUGAUGUUCGUCACUAAGGUUUGGCCACAGACCAUCCCCAGGCCAGGGUUUUUUUCUGUAUCUGUACUUGCAUUUGUAUCUGUUGUUUCCAUGUGUUUUGCUGAAGUGUAAAUAAAAAAAUUCAUUCAGUGAAGUUGAAUCAACCCUAGUAAUGAUGCCCCUGCUCCCUCACCUUCCAGCUUUGGCUCCUGUCUUUCUUUGGUGUGGUUUAGUAAUUUUUUUUCACUGUAUUUCUUCCUUUGCUUCUCAUCUUACUUUUCUAUUUCUGACUUCAUUUCUGUCUGUCCCUAACUCUGUGUUUCUAUUUCUCACUGUUUCUAACUCUGUCUCUCUGCUUCUCUAUUUCCCGCUAUUUCUUUUUUUUCUUUCUUUCUCUGUUUCCAACUAUUUCUUUUUCUCUCUAUAGUUUAUACUUUACUCUUUCUUUUUCUCUCUAGCUUUAACUCUUUUUUCCUCUUUUUUACUCUCACUCUUUCUUUUUCACUCUAACCCUGCUCAUUUUUCACUCUUUUUGUUUUCACUGUUUGCCACUGUUUUCAUAGUUCUUUUUUUUCUGUCUCUCUUUUUCUCUCCAACUUCAACUUUCUUUAACCCUUUGUUUCUCUCUAUUUCUACCUUUAUUUCUAACUCUGCUUUCCUUUCUAGCUUUAAAAAAGAACAGCAGUAAAAACUUUCAGGCUCCCUGGGAGUAAAAAAAAAAACCAAACAAACCUUUAAAUAAUUAUUUAAAGAAAAUUAUUUAAUCCCUGGGAGCCUGAAAUUUUCUACUGCUGCACCAGACAUACAGUUUUUCUUCUUUUUCCUAAUAGAUAUAGGGCUCCUAAUUAGCGAUCCAGCUGGCAGGUAGCAGUAGCAAUAUGCAGAAACCAGUAUUCCCAUCAAGCCCACCAGAUGAAUAAUGAUACGACCAAGAGUUCAUCAUGUUGAAACAUAAAUUUUAAGGGAUUUAGAGAUUUUAGAGCAGCCAAGAUUUUAGUUAAAGACAAGCCUUACUAGAGUUAAUUAAAAUAAAUGAGUAGGCCUUGAUAAAGUUAAGAGUGAGUAGUUAACUAGUAAUUGAUUGCCUGUCAGCACAAUGUUUAGUUAGCUGGGUUAAUAAUGAAGAAUAUAGAAACUGAUAAAUAGCUUUUAAGAGCAUAAGACAAUUGUGGGCCUCCUCUGUUCUGAAAUCAAAUGAAGACAAGGAAUGGAAGUUCUACCAAGAGUUCAUUUGUCAUAUUUGCAUUGAAACGGUAGAAAGGCCAGAACAAGGAAGACUUCAUUUAAUUCCACAUUUUGGGACUCAUCCCCAUGAAAGGGACCACUGACCCAUUUCAGGGAACAAACGUCAUGCUUAAUAGCUUUUGAAAUGAUUAGCAUAUGAAGCAAGGAAUGGGAUGUACCAAAAUGAAUAGGUAUUUGUAUUUUCGGUAUUCAGUACUUGUAUGGACAAAACGGCUCUUUAAUCACUUGGAAAGUGCGGUGUGUAUUUGGGAACUAUCCCACACGCUGCUGGGUGUCGAAUAAACAUACACUUUCUAACUUCAAA